CGGAACGUACCCAGAAGUGGGGGAUAACGUAGCGAAAGUUACGCUAAUACCGCAUACGAUCCACGGAUGAAAGUAGGGGACCUUCGGGCCUUAUGCUUUUGGAGCGGCCGAUAUCUGAUUAGCUAGUUGGUAGGGUAAAGGCCUACCAAGGCGACGAUCAGUAGCUGGUCUGAGAGGACGACCAGCCACACUGGAACUGAGACACGGUCCAGACUCCUACGGGAGGCAGCAGUGGGGAAUUUUGGACAAUGGGCGCAAGCCUGAUCCAGCAAUGCCGCGUGAGUGAAGAAGGCCUUCGGGUUGCAAAGCUCUUUUGUCAGGGAAGAAACGGUAGAGGCUAAUAUCCUUUGCUAAUGACGGUACCUGAAGAAUAAGCACCGGCUAACUACGUGCCAGCAGCCGCGGUAAUACGUAGGGUGCAAGCGUUAAUCGGAAUUACUGGGCGUAAAGCGUGCGCAGGCGGUUUUGUAAGUCUGACGUGAAAUCCCCGGGCUCAACCUGGGAAUUGCGUUGGAGACUGCAAGGCUAGAAUCUGGCAGAGGGGGGUAGAAUUCCACGU
rnacentral:rRNA from 1 species